rnacentral:tRNA from 1 species
UCAGAACUAAGUCAUCCCAAGGUCGAACGAAGUUUAUUGCAAAGCUUUCAAACUAAGUCAGGUUCUAAAAAAGAAGCAACAAAGGGCCAUUAGCUCAGUUGGUUAGAGCGCACGGCUGAUAACCGUGAGGUCACUGGUUCGUGUCCAGUAUGGCCCACUUGAGAAACCUUUAGUGUAAAAGCUGAAGAAAACUCUGGGGAUAUAGCUCAGUUGGUAGAGCGCUUGCCUUGCACGCAUGAAGUCAGGAGUUCGAAUCUCCUUAUCUCCACCAAACUACCAAAACCGACGAAAGCGAGAGCAAGAGUUUAGCAACUCAUCUAGUCAGGCGAAGAGCCAAAAACUAGAGAGACUGCUAAAUUCUAGCGAAAGCGAGAAUUUAGAAAGAACCUUGAAAACUGCAUAGUAAUAGUAAUAAGAAGCAAGUAGAUCCAAAGUGGAAAAGCUCUAGAAAUAGAGCCACAGAGGUCAAGCUACAAAGGGCUCACGGUGGAUACCUAGGCACACAGAGAGAAUGAAAGGAGCUUGGGAUCCUCCCCACUAACCAGGCAACAGAGGCUAUAGAAGGAUCCAUCUUCCUCCCUUUAAGCCCGAAUACCGCGGAGGUAGAGGAGGGUUCUGAUCCCUUGUUUCUAACUGGAGCAGUAAUGCUUUAAGAGAAUCUUGAGAGAAUGAGCCUCAACAGCCUGAAGCGUUAGGAGGAUUAAUUGGUCAAGCUACAAAGGGCUCACGGUGGAUACCU